AUUGAACGCUGGCGGCAGGCCUAACACAUGCAAGUCGAACGGUAGCACAGAGAGCUUGCUCUCGGGUGACGAGUGGCGGACGGGUGAGUAAUGUCUGGGAAACUGCCCGAUGGAGGGGGAUAACUACUGGAAACGGUAGCUAAUACCGCAUAACGUCGCAAGACCAAAGUGGGGGACCUUCGGGCCUCACACCAUCGGAUGUGCCCAGAUGGGAUUAGCUAGUAGGUGGGGUAAUGGCUCACCUAGGCGACGAUCCCUAGCUGGUCUGAGAGGAGGACCAGCCACACUGGAACUGAGACACGGUCCAGACUCCUACGGGAGGCAGCAGUGGGGAAUAUUGCACAAUGGGCGCAAGCCUGAUGCAGCCAUGCCGCGUGUAUGAAGAAGGCCUUCGGGUUGUAAAGUACUUUCAGCGGGGAGGAAGGCGGUGAAGUUAAUAGCUUCACCGAUUGACGUUACCCGCAGAAGAAGCACCGGCUAACUCCGUGCCAGCAGCCGCGGUAA
rnacentral:rRNA from 1 species